AUAACCCAGAUGACGAUGACAUGUCGCUAGAUGUGUCAUCGCAGUAACUGCUAACAGUAAGUUCGCAUGAGCCAAUCAAAUUAAGUGUAAAUGGUUGCCAGCUGGUGUUUAUAUUAUAUGCCGAAUUUACCAAGAGACUUUCAACAAUAAUAAAAGAUUUAAAGUUCCUCAUAUUUUGGACGCGUGCCCACUAUUUCACUUGCAAUGAUUCGAAUGGUAAAUUUCCCAAAUGGAGUUCGGCGUAGCGAUCGGUUUCGAAGAGGAAAAACGUAUUUUGCUGGUUGAAAUAAGAGGAAAUAUUAGGUGUAGGGCACCGGAAGUGUUACUCAACUAGAUUAUGAAAUACGACUUUUAUUUAACGGCAUCAUUAGUGUUUUAGCUAGCUAGCCAACUAGCUAGGGGAAGGACAACGCGGCUGCGGACCAGAGUGGGCGUCCCGGCCCUCUCGUUCUCCACCUCCUCCCCUUUCUCCGUGGGGGCCUGCUGGAGCCCACUCCUCAGCCGCUGGUGGAGGCCGUACUCGAUCAUCUCGCUGUAACACUGCAGCACCACCUGGGAAGCAAGACAGAGAAGGUCAGUUUGGCACAGCUCUGCCAGCACUUCACUCAUGAGAGCCAGCUGACUGGGCCCCUUGUCGCCCAGACCUCGCAGUGCACAGUUCAGGGAUGCCGCGGCGACAAGUGACGGCGGUGCUCCCAAGAACCGGGAGUCGCAGACACACAUGGCGGCCAGCGUGUCGCUGUGCCGCCGCAGGGUGGACAGCCGCUCCUCGGACUCGCCGCCCUCCCAGACGCCGCUCUGCUCCACGGAGGCAAGAAAGUGUGGCAGGAAGUCCUGAGGGGUCACCGCCGCUGUGUCCCACCGCAGGGUGGCGAGGAUGACGCGCUCCAUGUCCUGAUGAUUGGAAAAGGGGAUUUGAAGAAUUUUGUCAGACAUUUGAAGAAGUUAUUUUUGUGAAGUAGGAAGUUGAAAUGAAAAAAAUAGAUAUAAUGUGACUAAAAUCUAGGUUUAACUGUGGUUUUUAUUCGCCACACUCUGUGUCCUUGCAGUAUCUAAGAUAGUGAUGGUGUUAGAGGCCCAUAGUCAGAAAUGACAUCACAAGAAAGUCAUGCAGGGUCAAUUUGUUGUGGUCGUUGAGGGCGUCCAGACUGAGCUAUCUCUGCUCAUCCACCACUCCAGCCUCAUAAGAUGGACCAUGUGUUUCACUCACCCUCAGGUUGGAAGGCUGGAAGCUGUACUCGGCUGCAGCGCAGAGAGUGUCGGCGGUGACGUUGUCGCACUCUGUGAGCUUGGAGGCUAUGAGGAUGCAGCCGGCGGCCAAGCAGUACGGUGAGACGGGCACAGACAGGGAGGCCGACAGGAACCGGUCCAGCAGGGAGACGGACAGAGGGAACACUGCCUCGUCACAGCCGCACUCACAGCACACCUGGAGAGAGAGAGAGGACAGAGGACGCUGGUGUCACAGCUGCAGGGAUGACACAAUUCACCCAGCACCAUGAGUGGGGAGGGUAUUGAAAAAAACAUGCUGGAGCAUGAGAGAGUUUCAUACCUCCAGGGCCCACUUGGCGAGCUCCUCCCUGCGCUCUGGGUCCCGCUGGAUGAGGGCGACGUAGAGCGUGGAGGGGAUGUACCUCUCCUCCACGUGAAGCAGCCUCUGGAUCACGCGAUGCCCCGACACGGUGGGGUCCCAGGCGGCUCGCACCUGAGACGGGCCCCCGGUGUGGCCCUGGGCUGGAGCCUCGGCCUGGCCCCGCUCCCGACUCUGCUCGUCCUCCACCUCCUCGCACCACAGAGACACAGACAUGCCUCUGUCCAUCUGCACGGCCUGAUGGUGUCAAAUAUGAACUUCUUUUAUGUCCAAAUGGGAAGGAAACACGGCGGCUACUGUCCCUCUGUCACCUGAGCUGCAUGUGCAGGUAAACGUGGAAGAGUGGAAGUCCCUGCGAAUCAGAACUUCCCUUCUCCCUUCCUGAAACUUGGACUUUGCCUUCCUGCGGUGAUCUGCCGAAUCUCACCCCUCAGCAGACUCCGCCGAGUUUUAUACCGAGCGGGGAGAGAGAGAGGCAGAGGGAGUGGCCGAGAGGGAAGGGAAAAGACCGAGGCCGAGAGGGGCGGGGGACCCUCGUGAGUGACAUAAAAUAAUAAGAAGACAACAAUACGGUCUUCGCAACAAUCGCUCCAACAGGUGGGGAGAGGGAGAGGGAAGGGGAGCGAGGGGAAAGAGGGAGGCAGGGGAGGAGGAGAGAGAGGAGCAGACAAGAGAGGGAGUGGCCCGCAGGGACAGAGCAACAGCUUGUCCCCGACAGUGAAAGAGAGAAGAGGGGAAAAGAAAAGAGGAGGUUAGAGGCAGAGAGAGAGAGAGGGAGAGAAAAGGUCAUCUCCAGACUCUGACAAUGGGAAUGGAUGACAAAGGGAUGAGGGUGUUUGUUUACAACGUGCGGCGCGCAGGAAACACACAUACAGGAGAGAUGUUGAAUCAUAGCUUCUUUUGGAUAUAGUAAAUAUCCUAAGUGUUCUGAUACUGACAAGGAUUUAAAGCACAAGGCGAAGUUGAAGAGUUGUAAGAUGAGAAAAUAUAUACAUAUUCCUGUAAAAGAAAAUAUGAAUUUCUCAAAUGUUUGCAUUUGGAGCUAUUGAGCUAUUGGACAGUUCUACCUCUUCAGGGCCAACUUAGCAAAAUGAAACUGUAAAAGUACAACAAAGCUGAUAUGGUUGGUGAAUAUGAGACAUUUUUCAGCAGUUGUUCUUAUAAUAGAUCAAUUGUCAAAAUCAUUUUUCUAGCAAGAGGGACCAAUGUGUGCAGAUCUUUUUUUUUUUUUUUACCACUUGUGGCUCUUGGAAAUAAUAUUUGUCAUCCCCCGCCCCCCCACAUUUUCCUCACUUUUCAAAUAACCACACAAACCAACUUCAUUAAAAAACUGCUGCACACUACAACACCACACAAAGGUGCGAGAUGCAGAACGCCCCCCUCCCCCCCCAAAAAAAAAUGAAAACAAAAAAAUAACAAAUAACUCUCUACUCUUCAGUUUGUCUUCAACCAACUUGUGAUUAAAGGAUUCGAAACAGAUUUUGGUUUGUUUCAAGGGAUCACAAGCCAGAAAGUUUGGAUACUACUUGUCUUAACUCUCGUCAAAGACUUCUUCAUCCUGACAGAAUUUUUUUUAGAUGGAAACGGUAAAUAUUAUUGCAUUAAACUUAGAUUUCUUUUCUCAGUGUGUUCAUGCAAAGUUCUGGCUCUGAGCCUCUCUCUCCCUUUUUUUUUUUUUUUUUU